AUUGAGGUGGGCCAGUACAAAAGCCGUAGUCCGCCCACCAGUUCUUCUUCUGUGCUCCCAUUGUCACCUGUGUCACUUCCAGGUCAGAGGUUGUGUGCCCAACAGGUGGCUAAUGCUAGUGUGGUCACAGGUAAAUGCUGGUGGCUGCCUGGAGUCCGUUUUCCCUUCCUCCUCUCGUGUAUGUCUGUUGCUACUAAAAAGCGCUGUCCUGCGGCCGUCAGAGGUUUCGCCGUCACGUUGUUUCGUGCAGGAUGACUGUUCGGCCGCACAGCGCAGGCCAG